UAGGCAUAUUUUUUCCACCAGAUAUAGCGUAUUGAUGAGAGCCAUUUUAAACUAUGCUCUUCGUCCUUCAGGCGUGCCGUUGUGGCGUCUCCUGAGCGAAAAUAAGUCUGUAAACCGCAAUGUGUGCGAAUUAUUGGCAAAAGGCAACCGCAGGCUGCCUUUUUCUUU
rnacentral:sRNA from 1 species